AACGGAAGCUCCCGGAGGGCAGCAGCCACACUGUUGCCUUUCUUUGUCCCCCCAGGUCAGCACAAGGAUCACAGCGCUGGUGAGAACGGGCCUUCAUUGAACAUCAGUUUUCCAGGCCCGCUCUCCAAGAGGGAACGGUGCCCCUCUGACCAGUCCAGGUCAGGGGACUGGCCCAGGGUCCUUCAGCCAGUGUGGGUCAGUGGAGGCCCCUCCCCGCUUGGGGCUUUCCAUUCCCCUGACAGAGGCGUCUCAUCCAAGCUGCCUGAGGGCAGGGGCUGUUUGACCUUCGCCUUGUCUAGCACAGCGCCUGGCACACGGAGAGGGCUCGUUCGAUGGCUGCAUGGAUGGCUGGAGUCUGGAGGCCUGCCAGGGCGCAGCACGGCCGCCCAGCCCCAAGGGGGCACCAGAGAGCUCCUCGGACUCCCGAUUCCCCGCCCCGCCCCCCGCUCUCGUUGCCAUAGACGCAGAGGAGGGCAGGAAGGCGCAGACGUCACUUCCGCCCCGCGGCCUGGCAGUUGUCAGCCCCUUCCGGUAUCUGCCCAGCUCUCGGCCUCCUUGGCUCCACUGCGCGUCGGCCGUCCCGGGGCCGAGUCCGGCAGUCCACCGUCCCGAGGCCGAGCCCGAGGGCGGAGGAGGCGGCGGCGCUCCUCGCCCUGGGUCUCGGCCACCCGUGGGUGGGCCUUGGCGGUGUGGCGUCGGGCUCCGCCUCUUCCGCGAGCGGCUGUGCCCAUUGGACAGUCUGGGAGCGGCUUCGGCCAAUCAGAGACGCAUCUGUCCCCCCGCCCCCUCAGUGAGCCGCUUGAGCUGGACGCCGGCGGGAGAAGCAGCCCUGCUGGGGUGAGUGGAGAGGGCGCCGCGGGGGGCUCGCGGCCCCGCCUGGGGCUCCUGGCCCCCCGGGAGCUCUCCGCCACGUCCACCCCCUCCUCCCCCGACUCUCCGAGCGCCGAGGGGGCGCCUGCCGUGUGCCAGGCUCUGUGCCCAACGCUUCGGUCGUGUCAGCACCCCCAUUUUACAGUGAAGGAAACUGAGUGA
rnacentral:lncRNA from 1 species